GUGCGCGCGCCUGCCCUUUGUUACGCCGCCUUGACGUGCCCCCGCGUCCCGCCCCGCCCCCGUCUACUCUCGCGCGGCGCGCGGGCCCCGAGGGGCAGGGCGUCUGGGAGGUGGGGCGGGGCGUUGCCCGCGCACCUCACAGCAGCCCCUGGAGGGCGGGCGGCCGCCGCGCCGGGCAACCCAGGUGCCGCAGCGCCGGGGCUGUGCGCCCUGGCCCCGGCCUCCGGACCCCGCUCACCGCCGUGGCGCGCCCCCGGGAUUCCGUCCCCCACACGGGGAGCGCUCCCUAAAGGGGGGUCUCCGCGUUUCUGAGCUGCGUCAGGGCCCGCGUACUGCCGCCUCCCCCGGGGUACACUAGCCUAGGUUCUGGAGGGUGAAGUCAGCCCCGCUGAGUGAGAAGAGGCUUGAAUCAUCAGUUACCUGGUCGUCUUGGGGCUGCUGUAGUAUGCAGUGAGAUACGGUUGUUUAUGUAAAGAACUUAGCUCAAGGCCCGGCACGCUCCAGACAGGUGAGCUGCCAUCACCCUCGACUGCCGCGGCUGCUCCCACCACCACUACUUCAUCAUCAUCACGGAGUCUUGGUUGCCUUGCUAGUGAAGCCAAGGAGUUCAGGGGUUGCUGUAGACGAUCUCCAUGUUUCCUCGCAGUUGCAACUUUCCAACGUCUACCUCAACACUGAUCACUCUACUCAAAUCUAGGGGGUACCUGCUGGAGUUUGCAAAAGUUGAAGCAGCAGUAGGAUUUCAAGUUACCAGAAAGCUGGCCCCUUCCACCUGGAGAGGAAAGUGUAAGAGCUCCUUCCUGUGCUGGGUGCCUCCUGCUUUCAAUGCAAAGAACCCUCCCCGGCCCACCCCUCCUCCACACAGUCCUUACAGACACUCUGCCAGGCCUGUUAAAUAAUGACACAUAAAAGCUUUAUUUACAUUUCUUCUGUUUCCACACUCCAAAGGCUCCUCUGCAAAGGGUAAAGGGUGCCAUUCCCAGCAUCUCCCUAAAGGAAAUUUCAGCCCUUUGGUCAGGAAGUGGGCUCCCCUUGUGAGAGAAGAAUGCAAAGCAUUCAAGGCUUUCUGGGGGCUGGGAGUUGUGUCCCUCCUGUCUCCCCACUGUGAAUUCAGGAGAAAGAAGAGUCUGAAUAAAGUUCCAGAAGCGAUAGGAAUAGCACAUCCUGGGUGAGGAAUUCAAGCUUUGCCUCUGCAGAAAAAGUAACCACAGACGGCUCGCCCUGUCUGUGGGCCCUCACAGAGCUCACUUACAUUGUGAUGAGCGUGACUGAGAACUGGGCACCAAACAACAGGUUUGCCCUUGAUUGUUUUCCCCAACAACAGAAGCAGAACUGGAUGGUGCCCACCGGCCUGGGAGACCUAGUGGCAACAUGGCUUGGAAGGCGAAGCUGUCAGUCUCGCUUCUGCAAGGACUGGCCGUGUGAACACUAGGCACUUCUUGGAAGGAGCCCUGACAUCAAAGGUGAUGCGCAUCUGCCUUGCCUUCUGGAACCCAGCCUGCCUGCUAGACAGCGCCUCGCAGGAAGGCCCCUGCCCAGCACGCUGCUCCGGGCGCACACUCUGCACCUGCAGGCGCCUCUGAAACCCCCGAACCCUGCCUGGGUGCGGGGAAGCCCAGAGUGUAGGUGGUGGCUCUGGCCAGCCAGGUGGCGCAGGGCGCAGGAAACUGAACAUGGGACACGAGGCUUCUUCAGAGUGUCUGCCCACAGCAUCUUCAAACUUGUGCACGGAUGUCAAUGAGAUCCCCUUCGUGUCUGCAAACACUACUCGCUUCUUGGGUCUCUGGGGUUCAUGCAGUUGUACCAGGAAGGAGUAGAAGGAGGCCUGGGGCUGCAGCUCUACCAGGCCAGGCCGCGGGAGCUGCUGCGGGGAAGGGCUGUGGCUGAGGCAGAGGUGCAUGGGGCGAUACACAGAAGACACGCUGGCAGCACUGGGACCUGUGACAAAAGGGGAAGGAAGUUCUGAUGACAGAGCAGAAGGACCAGGCCUUCUCAACUGCAGCUUGCCACAUCACUGCCCUUCUCCUCCCCUGGGUCCCCAGCCCACAAGUGUCUGAUGAAACUGAAUAAAAAGCAGCACAGGCUGGCCCUGAGCUAACAUCCAUGCCCAUCUUCCUCUACUUUAUAUCUGGGACGCCUACCACAGCAUGGCUUGGCGAGCGGUGCCAUGUAUGCACCCGGGAUCCGAACCGGCGAACCCUGGGCCGCCAAAGCUGAACGUGUGCACUUAACUGCUGCGCCACUGGACGGCCCCUUGAGUCAGUUUUGAUCCUUUGUAAUUUCUUAAAAGAUCAGCCAUUUCCUCUAAACUUUAAAUUUAAUGAUAUGAAGUUAAGCAUAGUGUUUUCUUAAUUUUUAAAAAGCUCCACAUUAUCUGUAGUUCUUUUAUUAUUCCUAAUAUUCUUUAUUUGUGUUUUCUAUUUUUUUCAUGGUCAGACUUGAGGUUUUCUUAUUUAAUUCGUUAGAUAUACUGAUUUUCUUGUUGUCUAGUUCAUUGUUUUUUGUUUUCGUUUUAUGAUUUC
rnacentral:lncRNA from 1 species